rnacentral:rRNA from 1 species
AGCAAUACUUAGUGGCAGACGGGUGAGUAACAUGUGGGUAUCUACCCUUUGGCCUGGAAUAACACGAGGAAACUUGUGCUAAUACCGGAUAAGUCUUUACGGAGAAAGCUUUAUGCACCAUUGGAUGAGCCCGCACUUGAUUAGUUUGUUGGUAGGGUAAUGGCCUACCAAGACUAUGAUCAAUAGCUGAUUUGAGAGGAUGAUCAGCCACAUUGGGACUGAGACACGGCCCAAACUCCUACGGGAGGCAGCAGUGGGGAAUCUUGCACAAUGGAGGAAACUCUGAUGCAGCGAUGCCGCGUGAGUGAAGAAGGCCUUUGGGUUGUAAAGCUCUUUCGUCGGGGAAGAAAAUGACUGUACCCGAAUAAGAAGGUCCGGCUAACUUCGUGCCAGCAGCCGCGGUAAUACGAAGGGACCUAGCGUAGUUCGGAAUUACUGGGCUUAAAGAGUUCGUAGGUGGUUGAAAAAGUUGGUGGUGAAAUCCCAGAGCUUAACUCUGGAACUGCCAUCAAAACUUUUCAGCUAGAGUAUGAUAGAGGAAAGCAGAAUUUCUAGUGUAGAGGUGAAAUUCGUAGAUAUUAGAAAGAAUACCAAUUGCGAAGGCAGCUUUCUGGAUCAUUACUGACACUGAGGAACGAAAGCAUGGGUAGCGAAGAGGAUUAGAUACCCUCGUAGUCCAUGCCGUANACGAUGUGUGUUAGACGUUGGAAAUUUAUUUUCAGUGUCGCAGGGAAACCGAUAAACACACCGCCUGGGGAGUACGACCGCAAGGUUAAAACUCAAAUGAAUUGACGGGGACCCGCACAAGUAGUGGAG